rnacentral:rRNA from 1 species
UCUGCCCGAUAGUGGGGGACAACACGGGGAAACUCGUGCUAAUACCGCAUACGUCCUACGGGAGAAAGCAGGCUUAUGCUUGCGCUAUCGGAUGAGCCCAAGUCGGAUUAGCUAGUUGGUGGGGUAAAGGCCUACCAAGGCGACGAUCCGUAACUGGUCUGAGAGGAUGAUCAGUCACACCGGAACUGAGACACGGUCCAGACUCCUACGGGAGGCAGCAGUGGGGAAUUUUGCGCAAUGGGGGAAACCCUGACGCAGCGACGCCGCGUGAGCGAAGAAGGUUUUCGGAUCGUAAAGCUCUGUCACAGGGGACGAUAGUGACGGUACCCUGGGAGGAAGCCCCGGCUAACUACGUGCCAGCAGCCGCGGUAACACGUAGGGGGCAAGCGUUGUCCGGAAUUACUGGGCGUAAAGAGCGCGUAGGUGGUUAAGUAAGUCAGGUGUGAAAGGCCAGGGCUCAACCCUGGGAUUGCACUUGAAACUGUUUAACUUGAGGGCAGGAGAGGUAAGUGGAAUUCCUGGUGUAGCGGUGAAAUGCGUAGAUAUCAGGAGGAACACCAGUGGCGAAGGCGACUUACUGGCCUGGCUCUGACACUGAGGCGCGAAAGCGUGGGUAGCGAACAGGAUUAGAUACCCUGGUAGUCCACGCCGUAAACGAUGGGUACUA